rnacentral:rRNA from 1 species
GGCCCCAAAGGUCGACGGACGGGUAGCCGGCCUGAGAGGGCGACCGGCCACACUGGGACUGAGACACGGCCCAUACUCCUACGGGAGGCAGCAGUGGGGAAUAUUGCACAAUGGGCGCAAGCCUGAUGCAGCGACGCCGCGUGAGGGAUGACGGCCUUCGGGUUGUAAACCUCUUUCAGCAGGGAAGAAGCGCAAGUGACGGUACCUGCAGAAGAAGCACCGGCUAACUACGUGCCAGCAGCCGCGGUAAUACGUAGGGUGCGAGCGUUGUCCGGAAUUAUUGGGCGUAAAGAGCUCGUAGGCGGCCUGUCGCGUCGGAUGUGAAAGCCCGGGGCUUAACCCCGGGUCUGCAUUCGAUACGGGCAGGCUAGAGUUCGGUAGGGGAGAUCGGAAUUCCUGGUGUAGCGGUGAAAUGCGCAGAUAUCAGGAGGAACACCGGUGGCGAAGGCGGAUCUCUGGGCCGAUACUGACGCUGAGGAGCGAAAGCGUGGGGAGCGAACAGGAUUAGAUACCCUGGUAGUCCACGCCGUAAACGUUGGGCACUAGGUGUGGGCGGCAUUCCACGUCGUCCGUGCCGCAGCUAACGCAUUAAGUGCCCCGCCUGGGGAGUACGG